rnacentral:rRNA from 1 species
CUACGGGCUGCAGCAGUGAGGAAUAUUGCACAAUGGGGGGAACCCUGAUGCAGCAACGCCGCGUGGAGGAUGACGCAUUUCGGUGUGUAAACUCCUUUUAUAUGUCAAGAAAAUGACGGUAGCAUAUGAAUAAGCACCGGCUAACUCCGUGCCAUCAGCCGCGGUAAUACGGAGGGUGCAAGCGUUACUCGGAAUCACUGGGCGUAAAGGACGCGUAGGCGGGUUGGAAAGUCAGGUGUGAAAUCCUACAGCUUAACUGUAGAACUGCACUUGAAACUUCUAAUCUAGAGUAUGGGAGGGGGAGAUGGAAUUAGUGGUGUAGGGGUAAAGUCCGUAGAUAUCACUAGGAAUACCUAAAGCGAAGGCGAUCUCCUGGAACAUUACUGACGCUAAGGCGUGAAAGCGUGGGGAGCAAACAGGAUUAGAUACCCCCGUAGUC